GGACGUGGGGUGGGAAGGGGGCAGGGCCGUCCUUUGGGUAAAGCGAAGAGGUCAGGGUCAGGGCCAGGUCAAGGCAGCUGUCUGCAGCAGCGCGAAGCUGGGGACAUCCGUGCCGGGCGCCUUUCCCGCAGGAUCCGAGCCUGCUGCUGCCUCCCGCCUUUCCCAGGCUGCUGCUGUGGCUGCUGUCGCUGCUGGGACUUCAGCAUGUUUCUGAGCGCUCAGGUCUGGCAGCUCCUGCACCCAGCACCCCACCCUAACCCACAGUUAGCUCCCCCUAACCCAGCCCCCGAGACCUUGCGUCAGUAGCCUACAGCCAAUCAGGAGUCAAGGCACGCCCCUAUUUUGUCCCCCACCUUCCUUCUCCACUUUACUGCCCUCUCACGCGCAAUUAAGUGGCUCCAGGGAACUGAGGGUGGGCAAGAGCGCAGAACUCAGCUCGGGCGUUUGGGCACUGGGAACUGUGGCUCCGGAUCUUUCCCGAAGGAAACCUGCACUCCAACCCCAACAACAAAGGGUUUGCUCGGUUUGGAGUGGAGGGGGCUGAGACAUUUAAAAGAGAAGGGCAGUUUGCAAAGUCUGGGGUUGGAGGAGUUUGGCCGAUUGUCUGAUUCUCGGAUUCGAAAACCUGGCGAUUUAUGUGUAAAAAGCGUCCCCUGGUCAGCCUAGGACAUGGCCAGCCUCAAACCUGCCAGUUCAGGGGAUCAGAGGAGGGGGUUAUUUGUUAGAGAGAAACUUUCCAGCAGUGCUGCGUAUUACAUACGGGGAAACAAGCAUGCAUCUCUCAGGAACAUUUUCUGGGUGCUAUUCUUCUAAGAAGCUCCUGUUAUUCCAGUGCAGUACUUACAUAAAAGAAGCGAAGGUUGUGCAUCUAACGAUGGAGACUAGUUGGAAAAACAUCCCCCCUCCCCAAAUCCCAGGUCUGACAUUUCCAAAAUGUGCUAGGCAAACAAGUGGCACUGCAUAAAUACACAUUAGAUUCAAGAAUCAUCUAGUCAUGGCACUGAAUGGCAUGCUGGGG
rnacentral:lncRNA from 1 species